UUGCACUUUCAGAAAUUAACAGGUUACGAGGCUCAAGUUCCAAAGAGGCCUCGAGGGUUGAUGUCUCCAAACAACCUUCAUUUUCGCUGAGUAGACCCCAACAAGCUCCACGUGCAGGGGCGGGGCUGCAGCGGUGACGCCACAGCACGCAUGCGCGAGUGAGAUUACGCGCAGACCUGCGGGAGCCACAAAGCGCGGACGGUCGCGGCCCCCGCUUCCCCGGAACUCUUUAUUUCCUCCAACCCGUCCCUUCCCAGUCCCUGUCCCUUCCCCCUUUCCGGACCCCGGACCCCUGGUGACUGUAGUUGCUGCUGCGGGUCUUUCGCCGGCCGUGGCGGAGCGCGGAGCUCGUGGGCGCCCAUGAGGGGUUCAGAUCUACGACCGGACGAGUGUUCUUCACGUGAUGGUCAAAAAAGGUGAAGUUACUGGCGUGGAGACAGAUAAAGGGCAGAUCGAAUGCCAGUAUUUUGUCAACUGUGCUGGUCAGAGCCCCUGCUGAGUUCUCUCCUGCGUAGGAUGCCAGAGUUGGAGACCCUGGAGAUCGUGAAGUUGGUGAACUGCCCCGAGACCUUCACACCGGACAUGAGGUGCAUCAUGGGCGAGUCCCCUUUGGUGCAGGGAUACUUCGUCCUGGCGGGAAUGAACUCCGCUGGCCUCUGGUUCGGUGGCAGAGCUGGCAAGUAAGUCUUUCUCACUCACACUGAGCUGAGUGGGCUUCUUCCUUUCUGGAAUCACUUGUUAGAAUGGCAUGUAAUGCAUUUCACCUGGUAUGUUA